UACGUAGGGGGCUAGCGUUGUCCGGAAUCAUUGGGCGUAAAGAGCUCGUAGGCGGCUUGUCGCGUCGUCCGUGAAAACUUGGGGCUCAACCCCAAGCUUGCGGUCGAUACGGGCAGGCUAGAGUUCGGUAGGGGAGACUGGAAUUCCUGGUGUAGCGGUGAAAUGCGCAGAUAUCAGGAGGAACACCGGUGGCGAAGGCGGGUCGCUGGGCCGAUACUGACGCUGAGGAGCGAAAGCGUGGGGAGCGAACAGG
rnacentral:rRNA from 1 species